CACGUAGGGCGCAAGCGUUAUCCGGAAUUAUUGGGCGUAAAGAGCUCGUAGGCGGUUUGUCGCGUCUGCCGUGAAAGUCCGGGGCUCAACUCCGGAUCUGCGGUGGGUACGGGCAGACUAGAGUGCAGUAGGGGAGACUGGAAUUCCUGGUGUAGCAGUGAAAUGCGUAGAUAUCAGGAGGAAUACCGAUGGCGAAGGCAGGUCUCUGGGCUGACACUGACGCUCAUGCACGAAAGCGUGGGGAGCAAACGGG
rnacentral:rRNA from 1 species